GGAAAGAUUCUAUUAAAUGGCUCAUAUGGUGAAAAGAACAAGUGUGAUACAUGGCAUUGUUCAUCUAAGUACGAAAAGCAAGCAAUGGUGUUAAAGAUGAGUUGAGGCUUGGUUGAUAGCCUCAUAGUGCAAGAUUUCUUAAUUUGAAGAUGAAUGCCAUAGCAAUGAAUAUUGUAUAAUCUCAUGGUGUUCAUGUGUAAUAUAUGACAAGUAAAUUAAGGUGAAGAUAGAGGCAUGAUGGCAUUGGGUUAUUGUUCGGUCUCUAAAUAAAAUGAGAAGCUUGUUAGCAACAAAUGGAAUAUUGAAGUCAAAAGAAGAUAUGAUCUCAAGUGGGUUUCAUUCUUGAUGUC
rnacentral:lncRNA from 1 species